rnacentral:rRNA from 1 species
CAAGCGUUGUUCGGAAUUAUUGGGCGUAAAGGGCGCGUAGGCGGUUUGACAAGUCUGAUGUGAAAUCUAUGGGCUCAACCCAUAGCCUGCAUUAGAAACUGUCGGGCUUGAGUAUGGGAGAGGUGAGUGGAAUUUCCGGUGUAGCGGUGAAAUGCGUAGAUAUCGGAAGGAACACCAGUGGCGAAGGCGACCACCUGGACUGAUACUGACACUGAGGUGCGAAAGCGUGGGGAGCAAACAGG